rnacentral:rRNA from 1 species
CGGGACACGUGGUAUCCUGUCUGAAUAUGGGGGGACCAUCCUCCAAGGCUAAAUACUCCUGACUGACCGAUAGUGAACCAGUACCGUGAGGGAAAGGCGAAAAGAACCCCGGCGAGGGGAGUGAAAAAGAACCUGAAACCGUGUACGUACAAGCAGUGGGAGCACGCUUAGGCGUGUGACUGCGUACCUUUUGUAUAAUGGGUCAGCGACUUAUAUUCUGUAGCAAGGUUAACCGAAUAGGGGAGCCGAAGGGAAACCGAGUCUUAACUGGGCGUUAAGUUGCAGGGUAUAGACCCGAAACCCGGUGAUCUAGCCAUGGGCAGGUUGAAGGUUGGGUAACACUAACUGGAGGACCGAACCGACUAAUGUUGAAAAAUUAGCGGAUGACUUGUGGCUGGGGGUGAAAGGCCAAUCAAACCGGGAGAUAGCUGGUUCUCCCCGAAAGCUAUUUAGGUAGCGCCUCGUGAAUUCAUCUCCGGGGGUAGAGCACUGUUUCGGCAAGGGGGUCAUCCCGACUUACCAACCCGAUGCAAACUGCGAAUACCGGAGAAUGUUAUCACGGGAGACACACGGCGGGUGCUAACGUCCGUCGUGAAGAGGGAAACAACCCAGACCGCCAGCUAAGGUCCCAAAGUCAUGGUUAAGUGGGAAACGAUGUGGGAAGGCCCAGACAGCCAGGAUGUUGGCUUAGAAGCAGCCAUCAUUUAAAGAAAGCGUAAUAGCUCACUGGUCGAGUCGGCCUGCGCGGAAGAUGUAACGGGGCUAAACCAUGCACCGAAGCUGCGGCAGCGACGCUGAUGCGUUGUUGGGUAGGGGAGCGUUCUGUAAGCCUGUGAAGGUGUGCUGUGAGGCAUGCUGGAGGUAUCAGAAGUGCGAAUGCUGACAUAAGUAACGAUAAAGCGGGUGAAAAGCCCGCUCGCCGGAAGACCAAGGGUUCCUGUCCAACGUUAAUCGGGGCAGGGUGAGUCGACCCCUAAGGCGAGGCCGAAAGGCGUAGUCGAUGGGAAACAGGUUAAUAUUCCUGUACUUGGUGUUACUGCGAAGGGGGGACGGAGAAGGCUAUGUUGGCCGGGCGACGGUUGUCCCGGUUUAAGCGUGUAGGCUGGUUUUCCAGGCAAAUCCGGAAAAUCAAGGCUGAGGCGUGAUGACGAGGCACUACGGUGCUGAAGCAACAAAUGCCCUGCUUCCAGGAAAAGCCUCUAAGCAUCAGGUAACAUCAAAUCGUACCCCAAACCGACACAGGUGGUCAGGUAGAGAAUACCAAGGCGCUUGAGAGAACUCGGGUGAAGGAACUAGGCAAAAUGGUGCCGUAACUUCGGGAGAAGGCACGCUGAUAUGUAGGUGAAGCGACUUGCUCGUGGAGCUGAAAUCAGUCGAAGAUACCAGCUGGCUGCAACUGUUUAUUAAAAACACAGCACUGUGCAAACACGAAAGUGGACGUAUACGGUGUGACGCCUGCCCGGUGCCGGAAGGUUAAUUGAUGGGGUCAGCGCAAGCGAAGCUCUUGAUCGAAGCCCCGGUAAACGGCGGCCGUAACUAUAACGGUCCUAAGGUAGCGAAAUUCCUUGUCGGGUAAGUUCCGACCUGCACGAAUGGCGUAAUGAUGGCCAGGCUGUCUCCACCCGAGACUCAGUGAAAUUGAACUCGCUGUGAAGAUGCAGUGUACCCGCGGCAAGACGGAA